rnacentral:rRNA from 1 species
UACGAAGGGGGCUAGCGUUGCUCGGAAUCACUGGGCGUAAAGCGCACGUAGGCAGAUUGCUAAGUCAGGGGUGAAAUCCUGGAGCUCAACUCCAGAACUGCCUUUGAUACUGAAGAUCUUGAGUUCGGGAGAGGUGAGUGGAACUGCGAGUGUAGAGGUGAAAUUCGUAGAUAUUCGCAAGAACACCAGUGGCGAAGGCGGCUCACUGGCCCGAUACUGACGCUGAGGCACGAAAGCGUGGGGAGCAAACAGG